AUUAAAAACAACUAUUCACAUUUUUGUUUUCAUGUUAUUUGCAGUUUAAAAUCUAGUCCAUAAAGCCUCAUUUAUAGUCUAGCGAUGAUUACUACUGAUAAAUUGCCUGUACAUAUGCUGAAAAUGCCUGAAAAUGCCUCCUCACCCCCUGCCUUCAACGGUACAGGACGUUUAAAUGAUUCAUUUACGUUUAAAGUCGGGAAGGGGGAGGAGUGAAUGGACUAUACCAUUUCACUGUCAGCAUUGCAUGGUCACAACUACAUGUUUGUUCGCCCACCCACUGUAAAGCGGUACAGAACUUGUUGGCGCUAUAUAAAUAACAUAAUAAUAAUAAUAAUUAGCAGAGAUUGUAUAAAGAUUGCUCUAUCUUUUGAUUUAGAAAUAUAUUAUUUAACUGUAUUAACUGUAUGUGGACAUUAUGCUCAAAUCCAGACUUUCUUUUUACAUUCUGUUAUAAUGUUUAGUAAGCCGCACUGCAUAUAAUGCCUUCAAGGUCCUUACAAAUACCCAUAGGUAUGGUAUGUGACCGGUUUUAUUUAUAUAUUUUUGUCACUUCUACUGUAUGUAAGAAAAAUUGUAUUUGUGCAUUUGUACUAACGUUUCAAACGGGUAAUUGAAAAAUAAAGGUUGUGUAAAUGCACAUAUAUUUAAUUUUGUCUGCAAAGCAACCUGUACACAAAACCGCUGUGUUCUGAUAUGUUUAUAGGCCAAGUAUGCAUCCAUUGCUUCAAUUCAAUGUCAUGCUAAUAUUUUUUCAAUCAAUAAGUGCUUGGCAGUGAAGGGGUUAAACUGUCAAUAAGCUUAGUUCGGUCCAUACUGCAUUGUACCAAUAGCUUCCCUAAUUAAAGUUAUCAUUUUACAUAUAGAAAACUGCACUAUUUGAUAUAUGUUCCGUAGGUUGAUGCUAUGUAUUAUGAAAGGCUUCCUCUUCACCCGCCCCCAAUAUUUUCUUCGGUUCCUAUGCCAUCGGAGGACCUACAUGGCAGUAUCAAAAAAAAAGAGGAUGAGCUAGUUAAGUACUCUUGGUAAAUUUUCACAUAGA